rnacentral:rRNA from 1 species
CCGCGGGAUUAGAGUUUGAUCCUGGCUCAGAACGAACGCUGGCGGCAGGCCUCAAACAUGCAAGUCUAGGGGGUGUAGCAAUACAUCACCGGCGGACGGGUGCGUAACACGUGGGAAUAUACCUUUUGGUUCGGAACAACGCAGGGAAACUUGCGCUAAUACCGAAUGUGCCCUUACGGGGAAAGAUUUAUCGCCAAAGGAUUAGCCCGCGUAGGAUUAGCUAGUUGGUGAGGUAAUGGCUCACCAAGGCUCCGAUCCUUAGCUGUUCUGAGAGGAAGAUCAGCCACACUGGGACUGAGACACGGCCCAGACUCCUACGGGAGGCAGCAGUUGGGAAUCUUGGACAAUGGGGGAAACCCUGAUCCAGCCAUGCCGCGUGAGUGAUGAAGGCCUUCGGGUUGUAAAACUCUUUCGACGGGGACGAUAAUGACGGUACCCGUAGAAGAAGCUCCGGCUAACUUCGUGCCAGCAGCCGCGGUAAUACGAAGGGGGCUAGCGUUGUUCGGAAUUACUGGGCGUAAAGCGCGCGCAGGCGGUUCUUCAAGUCAGUGGUGAAAGCCCGGAGAUCAACUCCGGAACUGCCAUUGAAACUGUGGAACUUGAGGACGAGAGAGGUGAGUGGAAUUCCCAGUGUAGAGGUGAAAUUCGUAGAUAUUGGGAAGAACACCGGUGGCGAAGGCGGCUCACUGGCUAGUAUCUGACGCUC